UAGGGAAUCUUCCGCAAUGGACGCAAGUCUGACGGAGCAACGCCGCGUGAGUGAAGAAGGAUUUCGGUUCGUAAAACUCUGUUGUUAGAGAAGAACAGCGCAUAGAGUAACUGUUAUGCGUGUGACGGUAUCUAACCAGAAAGCCACGGCUAACUACGUGCCAGCAGCCGCGGUAAUACGUAGGUGGCAAGCGUUGUCCGGAUUUAUUGGGCGUAAAGCGAGCGCAGGCGGUCAAUUAAGUCUGAUGUGAAAGCCCCCGGCUCAACCGGGGAGGGUCAUUGGAAACGGGUUGACUUGAGUGCAGAAGAGGAGAGUGGAAUUCCAUGUGUAGCGGUGAAAUGCGUAGAUAUAUGGAGGAACACCAGUGGCGAAGGCGACUCUCUGGUCUGUAACUGACGCUGAGGUUCGAAAGCGUGGGUAGCAAACAGG
rnacentral:rRNA from 1 species